ACUCCUACCAACGGAUCUCUUGGUUCUCGCUUCGAUGAAGAGCGCAGCGAAUCGCGAUAUCUAAUGUGCAUCGCAUCGUGAAUCAUCGAGUUCUUGAACGCACAUGGCACCCCUAGGGGUAUGGAUGGGUGAGGGCGAGCUUCUUCUGCCCCUACAAAGGUUUGGGCAAAUGGCAUCGGCUGACAGUUAGACUUACUCAGCCAACCCCCCCAACUUCGCCUCAUCUCAUCCAAGACCACCCGCUGAACUUAAGCAUAUCAAUAAGCGGAGGAAAAGAAACCAACAGGGAUUGCCUCAGUAGCGGCGAGKGAAGCGGCAUGAGCCCACUUUUGAAACCGCGCAAGCGGGUUGUAAGGGGGAGAUAUUCGCGCACCACGUAAGCAAAGUUCCUUGGAACAGGACACCGCAGAGGGKGAGAGUCCCGUAGCAGCAGUGGCAGUGCCAAGUGUCCCCAUGUGAGUCGAGUUGUUUGGGAAUGCAGCUCUAAGCGGUGGUAUACUCCAUCGACGGCUAAAUAUCAGCGAGAGACCGAUAGCAAACAAGUACAGUGAUGGAAAGAUGAAAAGCACUUUGAAAAGAGAGUGAAAUAGUACGUGAAAUUGGUAGGAGGGAAGGAUGUUGUGGGGACAUUGAAGAGCGUGGGCAGCGUGGGUGCUUGAAGGUUGAAGAAAGUAGGUUCCAACUCGUUUGAAACAACUUAUAGAUCGACUGGAAGGCAGCGGCGCUGGCCAAGGCUCGGGAACCGCACAACAUCACCCGUCUUGAAACAUGGACCAAGGAGACUAACGCAUGUGCGAGUGUUUGGGCAAGAAAACCCAUACGCGGAGUGAAGGCGAGGGGUGGGACACCAGAAGGUGGCACCACCCACCGGCGGAGGGCUCUAAGCCGUCCUGCCGAGCCAGCACAGGUGUUGGGACCCGAAAGAUGGUGAACUAUGCCUGAGUAGGGUGAAGCCAGAGGAAACUCUGGUGGAGGCUCGCAGCGGUUCUGACGUGCAAAUCGAUCGUCGAACUUGGGUAUAGGGGCGAAAGACUAAUCGAACCAUCUAGUAGCUGGUUCCUGCCGAAGUUUCCCUCAGGAUAGCAGAAGGCAAUUGCAGUUUUAUGAGGUAAAGCGAAUGAUUAGAGGUAUUGGGGCCGAAAUGGCCUUGUCCUAUUCUCAAACUUUAAAUAUGUAAGAGGAGCUGCUCGCUUAAUUUGGAGCGGCUCUUGAAUGCAGCCUUUUAGUGGGCCAUUUUUGGUAAGCAGAACUGGCGAUGCGGGAUGAACCGAACGCGGGGUUAAGGUGCCGGAGUGCGCGCUCAUCAGACACCAGAAAAGGUGUUGGUCCAUCUAGACAGCCGGACGGUGGCCAUGGAAGUCGGAAACCGCCAAGGAGUGUGUAACAACUCACCGGCCGAAUGAACCAGCCCUGAAAAUGGAUGGCGCUGCAGCGCGCGACCUAUACCCCACCAACAGCCGGAUUUGGGCUGUUGAGUAGGCAGGCGUGGCGGUUGUGACGAAGCCUUUUAGCGUGAGCGGRGGKGGAACGGCCGCUAGUGCAGAUCUUGGUGGCAGUAGCAAAUAUUCAAACGAGAGCUUUGAAGACUGAAGUGGGGAAGGGUUCUAUGGCGACAGCAGUUGGCCAUAGGUUAGUCGGUCCUAAGGGGGAUGUUAACUCUUGUUAUUCGAAAUGUUUUUAAUUUCGGCCCCAAAAGGGAAGCUGGUUAAGAUUCCAGCACUUGGUGGCGGGGAUGCGGCGACGCGCAGGGAUGCGGAGACGCCGGCAUGGGUCCCGGGAGGAGUUUUCUUUUCUUUGUAACAUGGUAAGACCCCGGAAAUGGAUUAACCGGAGAGGGGGUUUUAGCCGUGGAAGAGCCACUGCUUGUCGGUGGUCCGGAGCGCCUAUGACGGUCCAUGAAAAUCCGCAGCCGAAUUUUUGCCCAAUACCAAGCCGUACCAAUAACCGCAGCAGGUCUCCAAGGUUAGCAGCCUCUAGUUGAUAGAAGAAUGUAGGUAAGGGAAGUCGGCAAAUUGGAUCCGUAACUUCGGGAGAAGGAUUGGCUCUGGGGGGUGGGACUGAGCGCGGCGGAGCGAGCGGGUAGUCGGUGGGCAUCCUUCGGGAAGCUGGCAGACUUCUCUCGAGCUGUGCGGUCGCGAAGUCAAUAUAGCMCCCGCCCCAGAACUGGUACGGACAUGGGGAAUCUGACUGUCUAAUUAAAACAUAGCAUUGCGAUGGUCGGAAAGCGAUGCUGACGCAAUGUGAUUUCUGCCCAGUGCUCUGAAUGUCAAAGUGAAGAAAUUCAACGAAGCGCGGGUAAACGGCGGGAGUAACUAUGACUCUCUUAAGGUAGCCAAAUGCCUCGUCAUCUAAUUAGUGACGCGCAUGAAUGGAUUAAUGAGAUUCCCACUGUCCCUACCUACUAUCUAGCGAAACCGCAGCCAAGGGAACGGACUUGGCGGAAUCAGCGGGGAAAGAAGACCCUGUUGAGCUUGACUCUAGUUUGACACUGUGAAGAGACAUAGAGGGUGUAGGAUAGGUGGGAGCAGCCUUUUAGGUUGCGCCGGUGAAAUACCACCACCUUUAUAGUUUCUUUACUAAUGAGGAGGUGCAGUGUGACGCAAGUCGCAUUUCUAGCAAACGCCUUCUGGGCAAUGCAUUCCUCAGACACCGCCAGAUGGGGAGUUUGGCUGGGGCGGCACAUCUGUUAAACGAUAACGCAGAUGUCCCAAGGGGGACUCAUGGAGAACAGAAAUCUCCAGUGGAGUAAAAGGGCAAACGUCCCCUUGAUUCAGAUUUUCAGUGUGAAUACGAACCGUGAAAGCGUGGCCUAUCGAUCCUUUAGAGCCCCGGAGUUUGGGGCUAGAGGUGCCAGAAAAGUUACCACAGGGAUAACUGGCUUGUGGCAGUCAAGCGCUCAUAGCGACAUUGCUUUUUGAUUCUCCGAUGUCGGCUCUUCCUAUCAUACCGAAGCAGAAUUCGGUAAGCGUUGGAUUGUUCACCCACUAAUAGGGAACGUGAGCUGGGUUUAGACCGUCGUGAGACAGGUUAGUUUUACCCUACUGAUAUACGCGCCACAACAGUAAUUGAACCUAGUACGAGAGGAACCGUUCAUUCAGAUCAUUGGUAUUUGCGGCUGCCCGACCGGACAUUGCCGCGAAGCUAUCAUCUGUGGGAUCAUGGCUGAACGCCUCUAAGUCAGAAUCCGUGCUGGACAUGGGGUAAAUAACAGGGUGUUAGCAAGAAUAGGCCUCGUGCCGUACUCCAUGGGGGGUUUGGGUAGUUGGACAAACCGGCUGCUCUCCCCCAAAUCACAUCCCUAACAGAAUCCUUUGCAUACGACUUAGAUGUACAACCAGGUAUUGUACGCAGUAGAGUAGCCUUGUUGUUACGAUCUGCUGAGAUUA
rnacentral:rRNA from 1 species